rnacentral:rRNA from 1 species
GUGGGGAAUAUUGCACAAUGGGCGCAAGCCUGAUCCAGCCAUGCCGCGUGCAGGAAGACGCAUCUAUGGUGUGUAAACUGCUUUUGUACGGGAAGAAACACUCCCUCGUGAGGGAGCUUGACGGUACCGUAAGAAUAAGGAUCGGCUAACUCCGUGCCAGCAGCCGCGGUAAUACGGAGGAUCCAAGCGUUAUGCGGAAUCAUUGGGUUUAAAGGGUACGUAGGCGGUUUAAUAAGUCAGUGGUGAAAGCCCAUCGCUCAACGAUGGAACGGCCAUUGAUACUGUUAGACUUGAAUUACAAGGAAGUAACUAGAAUAUGUGGUGUAGCGGUGAAAUGCUUAGAUAUUACAUGGAAUACCAAUUGCGAAGGCAGGUUACUACUUGUGGAUUGACGCUGAUGGACGAAAGCGUGGGGAGCGAACAGGAUUAGAAACCCCAGUAGUCC